AUUCCAUCCACAAUUCAAAAAUAGCUCUCUAUUAACGUCACCAUAACGCGACCAGCAGCCAAACGUCCAUCCAAACAGCUCUUUCACGCAGUUCCCAAUUCCAAGAUCUGGAUUCCUGGUGCAUAAAUCGGACAAGGAAAAAUAGCAACUUGGUACUUUUCCUUCUCGAGUUUUUCAACCACUCGAUCCAACAGCAAGAGUUUCACACCUCGAUCACGACAAUCUAUCUCUGCAGUCAAUCCUCACAAAUCUUCAUCGGAAUGGUCGUGGCUACCCACG
rnacentral:lncRNA from 1 species